GCCUUCGUAGUGUAGCGGUCAGCACACCCGACGCGUAACUGAGAGGUCCGUGGUUCGAUUCCCGGUGAAGGCG
rnacentral:tRNA from 1 species